rnacentral:rRNA from 1 species
GGAUCAACACGUCGGUCGUGCCUUCGGUAUGAACUGGCGUCGUUGGUUUCUCCCUUCUGACGAACCAAGAUGUCAUUAAGUUGGUGUUUUGGGGAGUUAGGACUGUUACUUUGAAAAAAUUAGAGUGUUUAAAGCAGGCUCGCGCUAUGAAUACAUUAGCAUGGAAUAAUAAUUUAGGACUUUGCUCCUAUUUUAUUGGUUUCUAGGGGUGAAGUA